UACGUAGGCAGCAAGCGUUGUUCGGAAUUACUGGGCGUAAAGAGUGUGUAGGCGGUGCUCUAAGUUUGUCGUGAAAUCUCCCGGCUUAACUGGGAGGGUGCGGCGAAAACUGGAGUGCUAGAGGGUGGGAGAGGAAAGCGGAAUUCCUGGUGUAGCGGUGAAAUGCGUAGAUAUCAGGAGGAACACCAAUGGCGAAGGCAGCUCGCUGGGACGUGACUGACGCUGAGACGCGAAAGCGUGGGGAGCAAACAGG
rnacentral:rRNA from 1 species